rnacentral:rRNA from 1 species
GAUUAAAUUAAUAAGGGCGUACGGUGGAUGCCUUGGCAUUAAGAGCUGAAGAAGGACGCAACGAACGGCGAAACGCUCCGGGGAGUGGUAAGUACGCAACGAUCCGGAGGUAU